UUGGGAUACAAUUCUUCGUUUCUUGAAAAGUUUUGAAUAAACAAAGUUCGUUAAAAAUCCAAAAAAAUAGAUUCCAAAUAGUUCCAAAUAAGUUUCAAAUAAUUGGUAAACAUUUAAAGUCAAUUGGGGUGUGGAGUACUUCACGCCCAUGAUUUAAUUGCACACAGCCUUUUUAAAUAAAUUACUAUACAUAUUUUUACCCUCACUAUUAUAUUAUUAUCCAGACGAGAGAGAAUGUAGGUCUUUAACUGAAUAAACCGUUGA